rnacentral:rRNA from 1 species
UGGGGAAUAUUGGACAAUGGGCGAAAGCCUGAUCCAGCCAUGCCGCGUGUGUGAAGAAGGCCUUUUGGUUGUAAAUCACUUUAAGCGAGGAGGAGGCUCUUCUAGUUAAUACCUAGGAUGCGUGGACGUUACUCGCAGAAUAAGCACCGGCUAACUCUGUGCCAGCAGCCGCGGUAAUACAGAGGGUGCGAGCGUUAAUCGGAUUUACUGGGCGUAAAGCGUGCGUAGGCGGCUGAUUAAGUCGGAUGUGAAAUCCCUGAGCUUAACUUAGGAAUUGCAUUCGAUACUGGUCAGCUAGAGUAUGGGAGAGGAUGGUAGAAUUCCAGGUGUAGCGGUGAAAUGCGUAGAGAUCUGGAGGAAUACCGAUGGCGAAGGCAGCCAUCUGGCCUAACACUGACGCUGAGGUACGAAAGCAUGGGGAGCAAACAGG